AUCGCUCAGCUCCUUGGCUCCACUGUGGCCUGCCUGCUACUUAAGUUCUCUACUCAUGGCAUGGUGAGUACUGGAAUUUUAAGCUACUUAAGUGUUAAAAAACAUGUUAAUAUAAGAAAAAACAUGUUAAUAUAAGCUUUAAUCUAUAUUUGAACGUGAAUAUUGGUAACAAGUUCAGAAACAUGGCAAAUUUAUGCAGACAGCAUCGGCAUCGGCAUUUU
rnacentral:misc_RNA from 1 species